AGAGACUGUUCAAACCACUGAGGAUCAGAUUUUGAAGAGAGAUAUGCCACCAGCAUUUAUUAAACUUUUACUAGAGGAAAUCCUAAAGAAUGUACUUCAGACAAGUCCGCUGAUCCCAGAUGUAAGCCUGAAAUACAAGAGGGAAUGAUGAGCCAAGAUACUGGACAGUUUGUUGGUAAAUGUAGAUAAGUGUUGAUGUAUAUAAUAAUGGGAUGUUUUUACUCAACGCUUCUGAUACCAGAUGUAUGGCUUUUUUUUUCCACACCAA
rnacentral:lncRNA from 10 species